ensembl:lncRNA
AGCACGCUGGUGUCACCCAUUCUGCCCUUCCAUACCACACGUCCACCUGCCAGCCACCAUUUGCAAUCAGCACCUCCACACAGCACAAGAUCUGGCGUUCCACCAGCACGCUGCCAUGGCAAGGACGGUGCACACGUCAUAGAAUCAUAGAAUCACUAAGGCUGGAAAAGACCUCUAAGAUCAUCUAGUCCAACCGUCAGCCCAUCCCCACCAUGCCCACUGCCCAUGUCCCUGAGUGCCACAUCCACACAGCUCUUGAACACCUCCAGGGAUAGUGACUCCAUCACCUCCCUGGGCAGCCUGUGCCACUGCCUCACCACUCCUUCUGGGAAGAAAUUGUUCAUAACGUGCAACCUGAACCUCCCCUGGUGCAACUUGAAGCCAUUACCUCUCAUCCUAUCACUGAUACCUGGGAGAAGUGGCCACUCCCCACUUUGCCACAGUCUCCUUUCAGGUCCUUAGAGAGAGCAAUAAGGUCUCCCCUGAGCCUCCACUUCUCCAGACCAAACAACCCCAGUUCCCUCAGCCGCUCCCCAUAAGACGUGCGCUCCAGACCCUCACAGCUUCGUCGCCUUUCUCUACACGCUCCAGAGCCUCAAUGUCUUUCUUGUAAUGAGGGGCCCAAGUCUGAACACAGUGUGUCCCACCUGUCCCACAGCUCCGCAGGAACCCAGGAGGUGCUGUGAAGACACCAACACCAUCUACAGCCACACAAACUGCCCUGCAAUGGCCCACCAGCUUGCUGCACUGACAGGCCACACGGUUCGCCAACAGAUUUUGAAAGUCUGCCCUGACUGUAUAGUUCCCUUCCUGAUAGUGAUAUACUGCCCACAGAAGAUGCCGGGAAGUGUUCUGGCAUUUACAGCUGUUCGUUCUAAAAACAGUCUGAGCACGUCUGACAUUCUCACUGGAGCAAGUUUCUCCUCCAAGAAGGAAAGUAGACCUCACAUAUUUAUUAAAGCUUGCCUGUGGGUUUUGUACAGCAGCUAUUUGACCACGAAGGCAAAGCAAGGAGUAUGCCCAGGGAAGUCUGAUAUAGCAGAGCACAGCUGAUACCAGACUGCUUGUACGCGUGAGCAGGGGAACUACGGCGUGGGUAGCAGUGCUGAAGCCCUCAGUAGGAAGGCAGUGAUUGUGCAGAUGCAGAGCUCUGCCUUCCUCUGCGGCUGCUGGCAGUGUUUGUUCCAGGGGAACAAACACAGGCUGUUUCUCCAGGCAAAUGCAGAAACCCUUUAUAUGCAGGAUUACUGCAAUCUUCUUAAUAUUUUGAAAGGAGUCCUCCAGCCUCCUAACAGUCUUUAUGCUUACCCCAGAGGAAUAGCUGAAGCCUCCCUUUGUGCUCUAAGCAAUGUAUGUAUAUGUAGAAGAUUAAACAGUGGAACUUGCAUGCGCAACCAAAUGUAAGCAAGGGGAUGACUCAACAGCAGCUGAAUACGAAGCAACCCAGUUUUUCAAAAUAUGGGUGAAUUUAUGCAUCUAUACACUAGAGAAGUUGCCACAAGCAAAGCAAAGCCCACAAAUCGGUUCUCCUUCCCUUCCAGAAAGUUCAUCUAAGUGUGAGCACCCAGUUUCUGAGCAGUGAUUUUCUGCAGAUGUUGUUCUAUUUAUUGCUUAAGAAGUAGUCUCCUUUGUCAGGAAAAUGAGUGUGUCGGAGAAAGUAAAGCUAGACUUCAGCUCCAUAGCAUUGUGCAUUCUGCUAUGCUAUCCCCAAGCCUGCUCUCUCUGAAAACAAACAAAACAAAACAACAAAAACAACUCACAAGUACUCUGCCAAAUUUAGGGGUUGCUAGGACUAUUCAGAGAGCAAUAACCAUUCAAUAUGUGACAGGGGUCUUCAUUAGAAGAGGAAAAAAACGUCCAGGUUAGAUCAAAUGUAGGCAAAUAGGGAAGCUAUCCAAGGCUCCCCACUACAGCUGCUGCCAUGGUACUUGCCGGGAUGACACCUCAAGCUCCUGACCUGUCACUGGACUCUGCAUGGAGUUUUAUGCAUGGAGGUUUUUGGUUUUGUUUUGUUUUGUUUUUAAGGUAGCCUGUCCCUUCAAACCAUUUCUCCUUGGUUAGAGCAGAAUAUUGUCAAGAAAAAAGAUUUGUGAGUAGACAAUCAUAAUUUGAUGAAGAGAGGAUAGUCCAGAAGACAACAGUUUACCAACAAAUGGCUAUGUUUCACGGAUGUUUUUUGUUCUUCCUACACUCUCCCUCUACAUCUCUCCUUAAUCCUCUGUCAUUGCACUGUAAAGCAAAACAUCCUGUGACAGACCUGGAGCAGUCAUCCAACAUCAUUGGCCAGCCAGCAGUCCACAUCUUUUCCUACCUUGUCUUUGCUCCUGAGCAGACAGAACAUUUUUAUUGGCCAUUUGUUGCAUGAGCUGUGCCUUCCAAGGUCUGUUUUGCUACCCUUUGGAAUUCUAGCUGACAGGGCAUGAAGUUGUGAGAUUACUGUGAAUAACCAGCUUAGCGUGAGACAACAGUGUCAUAGAAUUGCACUGAAGGUAAUCAACUUUUAGACUGCAUAAACAGAAAUACAGUCUGCAAGACAUAUAAAGUAAUCCUUGCAUCAUGUUCAGCCUUUGUAGGGUCUCUGGUCAAGUAUUGUCAAUGUUGAUGCACAACCUUAGGAGGAAAUGGUUUCUGUAUCAUAAUGGAAGGGCAACUCCAGUAACAACCAACCAAUACAUGUAACACACAGCUACAAACACGAAGGGAAUAAAAUGAGGUCCUAGUACA